rnacentral:rRNA from 1 species
GUCCACGCCGUAAACGAUGAAUACUAGAUGUGGGGGGUAUCGACUCCUUCCGUGUCGCCGCAAACGCAAUAAGUAUUCCGCCUGGGGACUACGGCCGCAAGGUUGAAACUCAAAGAAAUUGACGGGGACCCGCACAAGCAGCGGAGCAUGUGGUUUAAAUUCGACGCAACGCGAAAACCUUACCAGGCCUUGACAUUGAGUGAAAUCCCAAGAGAUUGGGACCUCCUUCGGGACACGAAAACAGGUGCUGCAUGGUUGUCGU